rnacentral:lncRNA from 10 species
CGACAUCAGUCUCCAGAGUGAAUCCAAGGAGUGGACCCAAGACAUUUGUGUUCUGUGAUGUGGUGGCAUGUUACCUGUCAUCUCCGAUGCAUAACUCCUAAAGUGCGUCUGGGGCAGUUGUACAGAUUGCAGAGGAUAAUACUCAAGAUGUUCUCCAAGGCCAACUAGUCAUCAGUUUAUUCAUAGCUCCCAAGAUGGUGGUGGGCCACUUCCAAGAUGGUGGCAAGAGUCGUAUUCUCUGACCUGGGGUUCUUGGUCUCAUGGAUUCCAAGGAAUGGAAUCUUGCGCCAUGUGGAGAAGCGUCAGAUAAUUAGGCAGCAGUCCAACAAUUAGGUUUUGUGGAACUUUUACUAUGUCAUCUAUUUAUUGGAAUUCCCCCUGGAUACCAGGACCCCCUCCAGCAGAGCUUAAAGUUAUAGUUACAGGAAGUACAAAUUCCUUAUGUGGAUCCCUGGAAGUGUGAUGAGAAGAACCACUGUUUCCAAGAUCUAUUUAUUCUAUUUAUCAGGCCUAUAAAAUCAUGUAAUGGCCAUGGCUUCAACUAGACUCCACAUCUUGAAUCACAGAACUCAACGAAUGGCAUCAACUACAAGCUGGUAUUCUGCUAUACAUUUAAGAGGCCAUUUUAAUAUUCUAUUAGUCUAGCAGCUUCUAAGUGAUGAGGGAUAUGGGGGGACUGGAGGAUCCCGUGCUCACUUCCUUUUCUGUAAAAGGAGCUCUUUGAUCCAAGGUGACAUGGUAUGGGAUCCAAUGACAAUAAAUCAGUUAUUCUGUGAACCCUGAUCAAAACUUGACUAAACUUUUGACAGUUAGGUUUUUUCCUGACCACAGACUCCUCACCUUUCUUUUCUUAGAAAAUUUACAUUGGAAAACAGAUGUAAAUUUUCUCCAGCCUCUUGCAAGGUUUACAGUCCAGGACUUUGAGGUCCUGGGAGUCAUCCUUUUGAAAUACAAUCAUCAAAGAAGAUAGUGCUCCAAUCUCCUAGUCUCUGUGGGAGGGUUGGAACCUAACUUCAGUAAACUAAUCACCAAUUAGCAAACACAGAGGGGCUGAUCAUACUGACCCACUUUCCCACUAAAAUGUCUAGUACUUUCCACCAGCUCACCACAGUGCUUAAAAACUCUCCUGUCUUUUGUUUUACUAGAGUUGAGUCCAAUCUCUUUCAUCUAUUGCAAUAGUGUUGAAUAAAGUCUUCCUUGCCUAA